rnacentral:rRNA from 1 species
UCCUCUGGNUUAACUGGGGGCUUGCGGUGGGUACGGNCCGGCUUGAGUGCGGUAGGGGAGGCUGGAACUCCUGGUGUAGCGGUGGAAUGCGUAGAUAUCAGGAAGAACACCGGUGGCGAAGGCGGGUCUCUGGGCCGUUACUGACGCUGAGGAGCGAAAGCGUGGGGAGCGAACAGGAUUAGAUACCCUGGUAGUCCACGCCGUAAACGUUGGGCACUAGGUGUGGGGGGCCUUUUCCGGGUUUUCCGCGCCGUAGCUAACGCAUUAAGUGCCCCGCCUGGGGAGUACGGCCGCAAGGCUAAAACUCAAAGGAAUUGACGGGGGCCCGCACAAGCGGCGGAGCAUGCGGAUUAAUUCGAUGCAACGCGAAGAACCUUACCAAGGCUUGACAUGUGCCGGUCGGCUCCGGAGACGGGGUUUCCUCCUUGUGGGGCCGGUUCACCGGUGGUGCAUGGUUGUCGUCAGCUCGUGUCGUGAGAUGUUGGGUUAAGUCCCGCAACGAGCGCAACCCUUGUCUCGUGUUGCCAGCACGUUGUGGUGGGGACUCGCGGGAGACUGCCGGGGUCAACUCGGAGGAAGGUGGGGAUGACGUCAAAUCAUCAUGCCCCUUAUGUCUUGGGCUUCACGCAUGCUACAAUGGCCGGUACAGAGGGCUGCGAUACUGUGAGGUGGAGCGAAUCCCUUAAAGCCGGUCUCAGUUCGGAUCGGUGUCUGCAACUCGACACCGUGAAGUUGGAGUCGCUAGUAAUCGCAGAUCAGCAACGCUGCGGUGAAUACGUUCUCGGGCCUUGUACACACCGCCCGUCACGUCAUGAAAGUCGGCAACNC